rnacentral:rRNA from 1 species
UACAGAGGUCCCGAGCGUUGUUCGGAUUCACUGGGCGUAAAGGGUGCGUAGGUGGCAUGUUAAGUUUGAUGUGAAAGCUCAGGGCUCAACCCUGAAAUGGCAUUGAAUACUAGCGUGCUGGAGGUUUGGAGGGGGGACUGGAAUUCUCGGUGUAGCAGUGAAAUGCGUAGAUAUCGAGAGGAACACCAGUGGCGAAGGCGGGUUGCUGGGCUGACACUGACGCUGAUGCGCGAAAGCUAGGGGAGCGAACGGG